rnacentral:rRNA from 1 species
UACGUAGGGUGCAAGCAUUAAUCGGAAUUAUUGGGCGUAGAGGGCGCGUAGGCGGGAUUGUAAGUCAGAUGUGAAAUCCCGGGGCUCAACCCCGGAACUGCAUUUGAAACUGCAUUUCUAGAGGGUAGGCGGAGAAAAUGGAAUUCCACAAGUAGCGGUGAAAUGCGUAGAUAUGUGGAAGAACACCAGUGGCGAAAGCGGUUUUCUAGCUUAUACCUGACGCUGAGGCGCGAAAGCAAGGGGAUCAAACAGG